CCCCGAGGGGCCGGCGCAGGACGCGCACACCUGGCCGCAGAGGUCCCGCGUUAUCCUUCCAGGGGUCACUGUGCCGCAGGCAGACAGAUGCCACUGUGUUGAAUUGUAUCUAUGACUGUGUUUUGAGGAUCAUUUCACAGCUUUAUGGAGAGAAGCAGAUAAUCUCAACUUGACCAAGAAGGCAGGUGCAACUUGGCAUCUAAUGGAUAACUGUUCUUCAUAGAUGAUGAUCUAUCACACAUAAAAAGGAUCCUGAACACACUGCUAUAUUUAAAAUGGACAACCGAUGAGGACCCACUAUAUAGUAAAGGAACACUGCACAAUGUUCUGUAAUAACCUAAAUGGGAAAAUGAUUUUUAAAAAAUAGAUACAUGUAUAUGUAUAAGUGAAUCACUUUGUUGUACACUUAAAAACUAACACAACACUGCUAAUCAACUAUACUCCAA
rnacentral:lncRNA from 1 species